rnacentral:lncRNA from 1 species
AUUCCCGAGAUAAAGGAGGAGUUGGGACUGAGAAAACCUGACUAUUGUAAGGUCGGGAUACAGGGAAACUUUUACAUGAAAAUUUUUUUCCCAAGAGAAUUAAAUUAAAAUAAAAUAAAAGUAGUCUUAGGAUCUAAUAAAAGCAUAUUCAGUUAGAAAAUCCUAGCAAGAAGCAGUCAAUACUCACAAGAAAUCUAAACAAAUAAAAAUUUUCCAAAAUAUACAAAGUACUGCAUCUUAUUAUAUCUCCAAAGAACAAAAUAUAAAAAAAUAAAAAGUUACAAAGCACCAAAAUUAAUUUAAAAAUCAAAGCCACCCAUAUCUCCCAUGGCAUCCCCGUAGCCAUCAUCAUAAGCAGCCAUCUCUCCAACAUCCGAAACCAUAUCUCCCACCAACAAACCACCAAGCAAACCAGCACCCAAUCCCAAACCAAAUCCACCACCCAUCCCAAACUUGUUCUUUUUCUUAGGUUGUUGCACCGGUGGAUAUUGGUACCCAGGUUGUGAAUACCCGUAACCAGGUUGCGCGUAUCCAUGACCAGGUGCACCACUAGCUGAUGGGUAUCCAGCGUGCGGAUACCCACCAUAAGAAGUUUGAGGAGGAGGAGGAUACGCAUAUCCGGGAUUUUGCUGAUACCAGCACCCAAUCCCAAACCUAAUCCACCUCCCAUUCCAAACUUGUUCUUUUUCUUAGGCUGUUGCACCGGUGGAUAUCCAUACCCAGGUUGUUGUACGGGUGGAUACCCGUACCCUGGCUGUGGUUGCGGGUAUCCAUAACCAGGUGCACCACCAGCAGGUGGGUAUCCAGUGUGUGCAUACCCACCAUAAGAAGUUUGAGGAGGAGGAGGAUAUGCAUAUCCCGGAUUUUGCUGAUUAUAAGCCAUCCCUGCAGGAUAUGAAUUAC